GAGCGAUAACAAUAGCAUUCAAGAAGUGAGCGAGAGACCUAUACCUCUGGACCAGAACGUUCUGCAGAAGCACGUCGCUUUCUUCGAUAGGAACCACGACGGCGUCGUUUAUCCGUGGGAGACUUUUCAAGGAUUUCGAGCAAUCGGGGGUGGGAUCCUCUUGUCCAUUGCGAGUGGUUUUCUUAUCAAUGUCGCUCUCAGUCGCAAAACCCGUCCUGUACGUUUU